ACGUGUGAGAUUCCUGCUGGCAUUAACCAGAGUUCAACAUUGAUUUUAUUCUUCUAAAACACCUCCCCCAAGAAGAUGAAAGCUACAGAUUUUGACGUCCAUGAGCCUAGAGUGGUUGUUGUCUUGUUUUAAGAUGGUACAGGGCCUGGAAUUUGCUGAAGACAGCUCAAUGGCUCCCCCUGAAGGCCAAUAUGGAGAGGUACAGG